ACCGCGGAUUUCGCGAAAUCCAGUGACUCACGCACCCACCAGCCUGCACCGAAAAUAUUACCGGAUACGGGAAAAAUGCACAAGUCAAUUAUUCUAAAAAUCAGCCCAGUCAGGGGAAAGGGAGGAACAAGGAAUUUACUAAAUGAAAAGAAGGAAAAAUGACUAGUUACUGUGUGGGAAGGCUUGGGAGGGGCUUGAAAAGUAUCAACUUGUAUGUUUUAGCUGUUGAGGCGUGCACCAAAGCAAACCAUUCCUAAACUGCAGGGAAACGCUAGGUAUCGCAAACUUUCUAUUACGUUAGCGGGGCACGGACGGCCGGAGGGGAUACGGAGCGCAAUAAAACCGCUGUGAAGUUGCCGAACGACUCACAAUCAGACGAGCAACUGUACCAAGUGCCCGGAGCGGCGGAUUAGUGCCUUUUUUGUCUUGCAAACGUGUGUGAAGGGAACAGGAAAGAAACUGCAAAGGAGCAAACGAGAAAAAAAGUCACAAAGUACUUGAAAUAUGAUCACCUUACUCUUUCUCGUCCUGUUUGUUCCUCGUGUGCUAUCUUCUUCGACACAGGUGGCGGCCGUCUCCCCCCAGGAUCCGGCGCUGCGGGUCGGUUCCAGCCUGACGGCGACCUGCUCCAUCAGCCCCGAGCUGGGGCUCCACGCCAGCACCCUGUUCUGGACACUAAACGGGAGGCGCCUACCCAGCGGCAUCUACAACCUGCUGAGCCCCACCGCGCUCACUGUCACCCUCGACCGGCUCAACGGCUCCCGGCAACAGUCAGGUGACAACCUGGUGUGUCACAACAGCGGGGGUCACGUGCUGGCAGGUUCCUGCCUCUACGUCGGCAUGCCUCCUGAGAAGCCAGUGAACCUGACCUGCUGGUCCAGGAACACUAAGGACCUCACGUGCAGGUGGACGCCUGGGGGGCAAGGAGAGACCUUCAUACGGACCAAAUACACCCUCAAGUACAAGCUUAGGUGGUACGGCCGAGAAAGGGAGUGCGAGGAUUAUAACAUCGGGCAUCCAUACACAUGCUACAUCCCGCGUGAUUUGGCCCUUUUCACACCCUACGAGAUCUGGGUGGAGGCGUCGAACCAGCUCGGAGCUGCCGUCUCUGAUGUCAUCACCUUAGAUAUCCUAGAUGUAGUGACCACGGACCCCCCUGCCGACAUCCUGGUGAGUCGCGUGGGGGAGCUGGAGGACCAGCUCAGUGUACGUUGGGGUACACCUCCCGCCCUCAAAGACUUCCUCUUUCAAGCCAAGUACCAGAUCCGCUACCGGCUAGAGGACAGCUCCGACUGGAAGGUCGUGGACGACGUUGGGAACCAGACGUCCUGCAGGCUGGCGGGUCUGAGGGCUGGCACGGUUUACUUUGUCCAGGUACGAUGCAACCCCGUGGGCAUCUAUGGCUCUAGGAAAGCUGGCAUUUGGAGCGAGUGGAGCAACCCGACGGCAGCCUCUACCCCCAACAGCGGUGAGUGGAACAGGCCAAUCGCGGUAGAGGUUACAUCGUGACAUUAGGUCAUUAUUUCUCAGUCUGAUCCUCAGGGACGCACAGACAGUUAACAUUUUUGCAUGACAUUGUAAUGAAUAAUAAUUUUAAUAAAAGGAAUAAUUUGUGGGAGGGAGCAAAAACAUGGACUAUCUGUGAGUUCCUGAGGAUCGGACUCAUUAGGUCAAAAAUGUUGUGAUGCUCUGGAAGCCCCUGGGGGGGUGGCUAUGAAGGGCUGUCACCCCGAACUUGAGUUUCUCCCAGUCGUGCUUUCAGUCUUUUAUGUGGUCUUGGCUGACUUUGAGCACUUUUAAUGGGAGUUGGGUCAUGGCAAAAUUAGCAGUGUUUUUUCCAGAGUCAACCGGCGAUUCUCGGCGCCUAAGAAAGGUGAACUUCUACUGUUAGGGAGGCGCGUGGCGUGAAACGACAGGGCAGUCCACGGUCGAUAGCGCAACCGCUAGCUAUAGAGCAUCCUAGUGGAUGUGGAGGGCAUUGGGAACAGCUGUGUCUAAGUCGCAAUGGAAAAUCAACCAGUCUGCUAUCAUAGCCAUGCUGUCUGGAUUAUUUCAUUUGGCCUUAAUGCCGGCCCGUUAUCCGAGAAACUCGGCACGAUGACGUCCAGAGAGCUACAUGAAAACACAAGGUCAGUGUCGUGCUGCUGAUGAGCCAGACGUUAGUGCACUUUGAAUGGUUUAUUUCAUGUUUAUAGGUAGGGUUUAUCCCGCAAAACAAUCUUUCUGAGGUCACCUGUAACUACUUUUGCACAAUAUCUUACCAUACGAGUCAUAGCUGAAUCAAAGAAAAUUGAAUAAUUUUUUGUGUUUCAGUAUCCAACACAAACUAAACUUAACAUAGUUUAUGGAUUUAAAUAAUUGUAAACAAAACAACAAUGGAGCCACAAGUGAUUUUGUUUCAAAUAAAAAUGUCUCCUAAGUAUAACAUUGUCAUUUUCCAUUUAAAAUAAUGAACUGCUAUCAUGGACAGUAGAAUAGAUUGUGCUACUCUUAUUUGCUACAAGGGUUUGUUCAGUCAGAAGUGGUACAUGGAUUUAGUUUUGGAAGUUUGCAUGCUAUGGAUUUAAUUUAUUCUUGUUUAAGUAAAUGGAUAAAAUGCUAAUGACACUCAGUAAGAUUUUCUUCAUGCUGCAUUGUUUACGGCUGCCCUACGGACGAGAAACGUCUCGGUUCAUCAGAUAUCGCCACACAAACAUGCAGUGACACAUCUGGCGCCUCUAGCUAGAGCGGUUGCUGAGUGGGUCAUGUGACCCCAAGUCCGGGGAGCAGAAUUCCACGCUGCGGCGGGAGCUGAAGCAGUUCUUCGGCUGGGUGCGCAAGCACGCCUACGGCUGCAGUGGCAUGAGCAUCAAGCUGUAUGAC